ensembl:lncRNA
CCCAGGUGCCCCAGCAGGCGCGGCACGCGCCGUCCAAUCAGCUCUCGGUGUCCAGCAGCCACAACUCGUUGGAGGGGGAGGUGCCGGUCUCCGACAUCUACUUUUGGACCAGUCAGGACAGCGUGGUAGAGUUAUGAGGCAAAGUCAGGAGGACAGGAGCUGGGUGUAUUCUCCCCUUCACUCCGGCUCAGAGUCCAGAAGGGACUCUGGCGGGGAGAGUGAUAAACAGUAGCAGUUGGGUUCAUGUCUUUAUUGGAAAUGAAAAUCUUGGGGCUCAAGACAAGACACUCCUAAACUCAGUUUGGGAUGGACUUUUUUUAACGCUGGUAUCCCAAAUCACACGUGAAUUCCUAUAUGUGCAAUGCAAGUAUGCAGUGACAUGUUUACAAACAUAUAAAAACACCUGUGCGCAGGUUUGCUGCAUUAUAUCGCAAAAAAAAUACUCAAUAAUAAUAUUUUGUCAUAUCAAACUAUUUACAGCGUAACAUGACUUGAAUGAAAACAAAUCAGAAGAAAAUAGAAACCGAGAGCCGAGAGAGAGCGAUGGAUACUGAACACCUGCGCCCUUGCUGGUUCUUACUUACUUAUGGCUGCUCAUAUCAAAAAGCCAUGUUCUGUGGGAGGGGCUAACCCUCAAUUUUCUCAUCUAUUGGUUUGUGAAGCUUUCAAUCAAACCGCAGCCUGUAGGUGAGUCAGGGAUUCGUUGUGUGUGUGCGCCGCAUGGUUUUGUCUCCGUACGCUCCGUGUAAAUCAUGUGCGCUCAUUAGGCUCUGUGACUCUGGCUAUGCAAUACGGACAACAGCGCUGGGGAAACGGUCGCUUGAAAGCCGUGCCUCAGCACUUUUCUACG